rnacentral:rRNA from 1 species
CCGUCAAUUCCUUUGAGUUUCAAUCUUGCGAUCGUACUCCCCAGGCGGAAUGCUUAUCGCGUUAGCUCCGGCACGGACACCUCUCGAUGCCUACACCUAGCAUUCAUCGUUUACGGCCAGGACUACCGGGGUAUCUAAUCCCGUUUGCUCCCCUGGCUUUCGCGCCUCAGCGUCAGUUGCUGGCCAGCAAGUCGCCUUCGCCACCGGUGUUCUUCCCAAUAUCUACGCAUUUCACCGCUACACUGGGAAUUCCACUUGCCUCUCCAGCACUCCAGUCAUCCAGUUUCAACCGCAUGAUGCGGUUAAGCCGCACCAUUUCACAGCUGACUUAAAUGACCGCCUACGCGCCCUUUACGCCCAGUAAAUCCGGACAACGCUCGUCCCCUACGUAUUACCGCGGCUGCUGGCACGUAGUUAGCCGGGACUUCCUCGUGUGGUACCGUCACGCUCUUCUUCCCACACAACAGAGGUUUACGACCCUAAGGCCUUCUUCCCUCACGCGGCGCCGCUGGGUCAGGGUUUCCCCCAUUGCCCAAUAUUCCCCACUGCUGCCUCCCGUAGGAGU